CCUACGGGUGGCAGCAGUGAGGAAUAUUGGUCAAUGGACGCAAGUCUGAACCAGCCAUGCCGCGUGCAGGAUGACGGCUCUAUGAGUUGUAAACUGCUUUUGUACGAGGGUAAACCCCGAUACGUGUACCGGGUUGAAAGUACCGUAUGAAUAAGGAUCGGCUAACUCCGUGCCAGCAGCCGCGGUAAUACGGAGGAUCCGAGCGUUAUCCGGAUUUAUUGGGUUUAAAGGGUGCGUAGAUGGUUUGAUAAGUUAGAGGUGAAAGGUCGGGGCUCAACCCCGAAACUGCAAUUAAUACUGUUGGACUAGAGAACAGUUGCGGUAGGCGGAAUGUGUGGUGUAGCGGUGAAAUGCUUAGAGAUCAUAAAGAACACCGAUUGCGAAGGCAGCUUACCAAACUGUAUCUGACGUUGAGGCACGAAAGCGUGGGUAGCAAACAGGAUUAGAUACCCGGGUAGUC
rnacentral:rRNA from 1 species